rnacentral:rRNA from 1 species
UGCCUGGCGGCGAUAGCGCGGUGGUCCCACCUGACCCCAUGCCGAACUCAGCAGUGAAACGCCGUAGCGCCGAUGGUAGUGUGGGGCUUCCCCAUGCGAGAGUAGGACACUGCCAGGCUU